rnacentral:lncRNA from 1 species
UAGAAGUGCCACUCUGCUACACAGGGGCUUGAAUCCCGGGGGUUGGACUCGAUGAUGUCUAAGGUCCCUUCCAUCCUGCAUGAGACUUUAAGAUUGUGAUACCUUGACAUUUUUAUCACUGAUACUAAAUGUAUGGACAAGACUAACAAAGUAAAAAGGUACUACUGCAUUCAGUUAAAUGGAGAUUCUUCAGUCAUUGUGAGGUUUAGUAAUUCAGAAUAAAAUUACAGCUGCAUCAAGAAAGUUUUUUUUUUCUCAUGUCAUAUAGCAAAUAUUCCAGAGAGAACUAAUGGCAGUUCAGCCCUGGGGGCUGGGGGAGAGGGGGGGGGGGGGGGGGGAAAUCCCCUUUUUAAGUAAUGAACCAUUUUUAAAGCAAAACAAUACAUCAGAGGACCCAAAUGUUUUCCCUAGAACUGCCUUGUUCAUGAAAUGGAAAAUAAAAUUAAAAUUAAAUAUUUUCCAGGAGGGAAUACAUGUAACAUAUAAAAAGUCUCGUUUUGGAACACAGUCUGGAUGCUCAUUUCUGUGCUGUAUGUUCACUAUAACUGCUGAAGUAGGUUUUGCCCCAGCAGAUAAGACCUUCAACAAUGUGAUUUCUAAAGCUGUAGCUGUCUGGGGAUCUGACCUGAUCAGACUGUUUGCUAUCCUGAAGGGAGAUUUCAUCCUGCCCUUCCUCCUCCUUGGAACUCUUCAUUCCCAUUCCACCUGAAAGAAAAAGGAUAUGAGAGUAGGAUCUCUUGUUUCUGCUUAUGAAAAGGUAGAAAAUCUGCUGAUGCUUUUUAGUAUAAUUAUACAUAAAUAUACACAUUUAUCUUUACCUUGUAUUUUUAUUUCUACUGAAGAAUGCCCUGGGUUUUUUAAAUUAAUUUUUGUAUAAAUGAUCACAAACAGAUCUAGG